rnacentral:rRNA from 1 species
GACAGAGGUGCCGAGCGUUAGGCGGAAUCACUGGGCUUAAAGCGUGUGUAGGCGGGCCGUUAAGUAUCUUGUGAAAUCCCCCGGCUCAACCGGGGAAUGGCUGGAUAUACUGGCGGUCUUGAGCAGUUCAGGGGCAGAUGGAAAAGACGGUGGAGCGGUGAAAUGCGUAGAUAUCGUCUGGAACGCCAAAGGUGAAGACAGUCUGCUGGGAACUUGCUGACGCUGAGACACGAAAGCCAGGGGAGCGAACGGG